GGAAAGCCGUUUUGAAGGGUUCAUUCCCAACCGUGUAUACAUACCUUUGUUGCUUUGGCAGGCCGCCUUCGGGCGUCGGCUCACGCUGACCGCGCCUGCCAGAGGACCCAAACUCGUUUGUUUAGUGAUGUCUGAGUACUAUAUAAUAGUUAAAACUUUCAACAACGGAUCUCUUGGUUCUGGCAUCGAUGAAGAACGCAGCGAAAUGCGAUAAGUAAUGUGAAUUGCAGAAUUCAGUGAAUCAUCGAAUCUUUGAACGCACAUUGCGCCCCUUGGUAUUCCGAGGGGCAUGCCUGUUCGAGCGUCAUUAUGACCACUCAAGCCUAGCUUGGUAUUGGGGUUCGCGGUCUCGCGGCCCUUAAAACCAGUGGCGGUGCCAUCUGGCUCUAAGCGUAGUAAUUUAUCUCGCUAUUGGGUCCGGUGGUUGCUUGCCAACAACCUCCAACUUCUAAGGUUGACCUCGGAUCAGGUAGGGAUACCCGCUGAACUUAAGCAUAUCAUAGCGGGAAGAAA
rnacentral:rRNA from 1 species